rnacentral:rRNA from 1 species
AUGUUCGGCCUCCGCAGCCACCUGGAUGCCGACUUCGCCGCUCCUCUCGACAACCCCGACUGGGUCAUGGUCGACCACUGCGUGGUGCAUUGGCUGUAUACCACGAUCUUGCCGGAGCUGCUCGAGAUCGUCAUGCAGCCUGAAGACACCGCCGCCACCGUCUGGGCCUCCAUCCAGGGCAUCUUCCACGACAACCAGCUCUCCCGUGCCGUCUACAUCGACGCGGAGUACCACGCCUGCGUCCAGGGCGAUCUGACCGUCCUGGAGUACUGCACCCGCCUAAAGCGGUUCGCUGACCAACUCCGCGAUCUGGGUCAGCCCGUCUCGGAGCCACAGCAGGUCUUCAACCUCCUUCACGGGCUCGGCCGUCAGUUUCAUGGCGCGAUCCCGCACAUCACGUCGCAGGUGCCUCUGCCGAGCUUUCUGCAGGCUCGCUCGUUCCUCAUGCUGGAGGAGUUUCGCGUUGAGUAG